rnacentral:rRNA from 1 species
UACGUAUGGAGCAAGCGUUAUCCGGAUUUAUUGGGUUUAAAGGGAGCGUAGGUGGAUUGUUAAGUCAGUUGUGAAAGUUUGCGGCUCAACCGUAAAAUUGCAGUUGAAACUGGCAGUCUUGAGUACAGUAGAGGUGGGCGGAAUUCGUGGUGUAGCGGUGAAAUGCUUAGAUAUCACGAAGAACUCCGAUUGCGAAGGCAGCUCACUGGACUGCAACUGACACUGAGGCUCGAAAGUGUGGGUAUCAAACAGG